UACAGAGGGUGCGAGCGUUUGUCCGGAAUCACUGGGCGUAAAGGGCGCGUAGGUGGCGCCCCAAGUCUGUGGUGAAAGCUCGAUGACUCAACAUCGAGUCGGCCAGCGGAAACUGGGGGGCUGGGAGCACUGUAGAGGCUAAUGGAAUUCCGGGUGUAGCGGUGGAAUGCGUAGAGAUCCGGAAGAACACCGGUGGCGAAGGCGGCCUGCUGGGCAGUAGCUGACGCUGAUGCGCGACGAGGCGAUGGGGAG
rnacentral:rRNA from 1 species